CAAGGACUUCAGCCCCACUGAGUCCCUUUCUAGGAAAACCACGUCUUGUAGCCAUGCGAUAAUAGCUCAGCUUGCAUGAGACAUGGGGGCCAAAAAACCUGGCCCCAGGGAGCCAGAGUGCGGCCACCUGGUCUGCUCUGAGAAGGACUGUGGCCAGAGGAGAGGGCCUGGAUGCCUUGCACCAGAAAUGAGGGAGAGAGAGAACCAAGGGGAUGUGGAAGCCUUCAGAUGGGUCUGGGGACAUGUGCUGGGUGGGACACCCCCAUUCCACACUCAGUGCUAAUGCCUUACACCCACUACCUCUGGGCAGCUAAGUGAGGUAGCCCUUCUUAUGCCUCUCCUCUCCAGUGAGUGGGUCCUACAACCAGUGCUUGAGAGCACGGCCUCGGGACCAGAGCACCUGCCUUUCCAUCCAGUCCCUGCUUCUCAUGAGGAAGGUGUCCUUGGGGUGACACUACGAAAAGAGAUCAUCUGUAAAGGAGGUAAUAGGGUGGCCUGUGAUAUCUAUGUUCCUGUUACCAUGAAGAGAUAAUAUGAAGUUUUGGGAGAGAAAAUCUUUUUCUGUCUGGUGUUUUUCAAAAUUUUGAUGAUGGACUCACAUCAAGGAUGAAGAGCUUUGAUGUCAUUUGAACACCACCACCAUCACCACCACCAGCAUCAACAAACAAACAAGCAAACAAGCGUGAACUCAGGAGCCCUGUGGCCCAGCCUCCAGUCCAUUUCCUCACUGUGAUCUGGCUAAGUCACCUCCCCUCCACCUCAGUUCAGUCACCUACACAACAGGAAUGGUGGCUCCUGGCGUGAAAAGUUCUUAGGAGCAUUCAGCAUGAUGCUGUGUGGAGCACUUGGAAACUGCGUGUGCAUCACCUCAUAUUUCUGGCCACAGGUCAUUCAGACAUCUGCCCUUUGCCCUGGAGGAGAACCACUAGGGACUUGUGCCCAUAAGCACCAAUUCUGGCUUUUACCCUACCCAUCCUUUGCCAUCCCAAACUAUGCCAUCAACAAAUUCUAGAAAUCAAGUUAGAAAUGCUGUUCCCACGAGGGUCUCUGUGGUCUCUCAGAACAACAAUCAGCUGGCCCUGCUGGGCAGAUGUUGCCCAAUCCUAACCCACACUUAGCUAUCAACUUAAUCAUUCUCAACUAAAAACACCUACCUGAACACUUUUAGGGGUUAAGAAUAGUAUAAUCUCACUUAGCCAUUUGCAUUUUUUCUUCUUUUUACAAAAAGAAAUUUAUCUUUUUUUUUUUUUGAGACGGAGUCUUGCUCUGUUGCCCAGGUUGGAGUGCAGUGGCGCAAUCUUGGCUCACUGCAAGCUCCGCCUCCUGGGUUAGCGCCAUUCUCCUGCCUCAGCCUCCCGAGUAGCUGGGACUACAGGUGCCUGCCACCACGCCUGGCUAAUUUUUUUGUAUUUUUAGUAGAGACGGGGUUUCACCGUGUUAGUCAGGAUCGUCUUGAUCUCCUGACAUCGUGAUUCGCCCUCCUCAGCCUCCCAAAGUGCUGGGAUUACAGGCGUGAGCCACUGCGCUCUGCCAAGAAUAGUAUAAUCUCACUUAGCCAUUUGUAUUUUUUCUUCUUUUUACAAAAAGAAAUUUAUCUCAUUAUUAUGUUUAAUCAGUUUCUUGAGGUAUAACUUAAGUGUGCUAAAAUUUGCUCUUUUUAGUGUACAGGUCUAGGAUUUUUGAGAAACACAUAUUCAUAUGUGACCACCCCCAUGAUCAACAUAUGGAACAGUCAUUUGCCACCCAAAAUUACCUUGUGCCCUUUUGUUGUCAGACUCUUCUUUCUCCAGACCCUGGCAACCACUGAUGGAUUUUCUGUCCCUAUAGUUUUGCCUUUUCCAGAAUGUUCUGCAAAUGUAAUCAUUUAGUAUGUAGCCUUUUAAGUCUGAUUUCUUUCACUCUGCAUAAUGCAUUUGAGAUUCACCCACGUUGUUACCUGUUACAAUGGUUUGUUCCUUUUUAUUGCGGAGUAAUAUUCCCUUGCAUGGAUGUACCACAGUUUGGGUAACCAUUCAACAGUCAAAUGAGAUUGAAUUUGUUUCCAUUUUUUGGUGAUUAUAAAUACAGCUAUAAACAUUUGUGAAAGUGUUUUGUAUGUACAUACAUUUUUCUUAGACAUUUGGUUUUAAGAGAUGUAUUUAGGUUUAGUUCCAGAUGAACAAUGAGAGACUGAAAGACUUAAGGGACCCCUGAGAAGAGCAGAGGGAAUAUUCCCUGAGGCAGCCAUCAGUCAGACCUGGCCCUGUCAUUUAAAUGUGGGCUAGUGGUAGCAAGAUGCUGUUAUUAUUUUCACCAAGGACAUUUUUUGAGUAGCAAUUAAAAUGAAGUCUAUUUCUCUGAGCCCCUGGAGAAGAACAUAAGCACAUGAUGGUAACCAUCAAUUUAGUGGGCCUAACGUUAUCUAGGUGGUUAAUGUUUCCAUGGCUUCUGGCAAUUCCCAGUGUAAGUCACCUGUGUAUACUGGGUGGAUGCUUCUUUAAAUUAAAGAUAAGCUGUUCAGCUUAAUAACAGCUAAGGGAGAAUAUAGAGCCCGUGGGUGAACUGUUUACUAACAAGCUUCUUCAGGGUCAUUCAACUUGAAUGAACUCUCUUUUAGGCUAACUUGGUUUGUGGAGGGAAUGCAUGUUUCUUAGUUAAAAUAGUUACAUUGGAAUCCCAACUGUGCACAGGACUUCAAGGGUAAUUAUGAACCCCCACUGCAGAUUUCAGGCUUAGCACCAAUUCUCCUUGCUUUCUACUUGUAUCCAUCAAAAACAGAAGUUACGAUGGAGUUACAGCUAUACUUGUAAGGGUCUCAGUGAACCUCUCCCACUAUUCUGCCUUAUCACCUUUGGGUUCCUGUGUUCUCUACCCCCUCCCCACUGCAUGUUUUCAUUCAGCCAGGAAACAUUUACUGCCUGCCUGGUAUCAAGCCCUUGCAUGAGGGUGGGAGCUCAUAAAGAUGACUACACUAGAGAAUCAUUUGACCUUUCUCAUGUAGACCUCAACAUGAAUGAGUUUCAAUGCUGAUAGGGCAAUCAUUACCUUCAGACAAAUUUUCAGGAACAGCCAAGACUAGAGAAUGUAUGGCUAAAACACAGCACUAUGCAUUUAUAAUAGUCAUGGGUUCUCCUGUUUUAAUUGUACAUGGAGAAUAUUUCAGCUUUAUUUGUAUGGGCUGCUCUUAUGUAAAACAUUAUUUCAAUGAGGAAAUGUGUUUGGGGUUCUAAAUGACUAACUUACAAACACAACUUUGAAUAAAGUCCAUGAAUAAUUUGAGGAUUUAUGUCUAUCAAUGGCUGAUUUACCAGAUUGUUGGCUUUGGGUUUAUUGGUAUCCAUGUUGAGAGGCAUCAGAUCAUCCAAGGUUUAAGUUUCGUCCUGACCACUGACUAGCAUUGAGACCUUAAUGGGAUUAAUAACAAUGAUAAUGAUAGUGACAAGAGCUAGCUUUUCAUGAGCACAGUGGCUAAGAGAGUUAGCAUCAGUUCUAGCUGCUUUCAUUGACAUAGAUGUAAAUGGGGAGGGAAACCAUGACUAGACUCAAAUCUCUGCUCUAACGUCUGAUACCUGAAUAUCACUUUGCAAGCCACGUCAUCUCUCUAAGUUGUAGCUCUUUGUCUGAAAAAUGUGGAUAGUUAAUACAUUAUAAAUAAAUUAUUAUUACAUUAAUACACAGAAAUUCAUAAUGCUAUUGUGGGGAUUACAUGAGAUGAUGGAAGUAUUUAAUCUAGUGUCUUGUAUAUGGCAAAUAAAAAAUAAAUAUUCACUGCUGUUAAU
rnacentral:lncRNA from 10 species